rnacentral:rRNA from 1 species
CGUAGGGACCGAGCGUUUGUCCGGAUUCAUUGGGCGUAAAGAGCUCGUAGGCGGCUGCUCAAGUCGAAUGUGAAAACUCGAGGCUCAACCUCGAGCCUGCAUUCGAUACUGGGCGGCUAGAGUCUGGUAGGGGGAUCUGGAAUUCCUGGUGUAGCGGUGGAAUGCGCAGAUAUCAGGAGGAACACCGGUGGCGAAGGCGGGAUCCUGGGCCAGUACUGACGCUGAGGAGCGAAAGCGUGGGGAGCAAACAGGAUUAGAUACCCUGGUAGUCCACGCCGUAAACGAUGGGCGCUAGGUGUGGGAGGUCAUCGACUCCUUCCGUGCCGCAGCUAACGCAUUAAGCGCCCCGCCUGGGGAGUACGGCCGCAAGGCUA